AUUGAACGCUGGCGGCAGGCCUAACACAUGCAAGUCGAACGGUAACAGGAAGCAGCUUGCUGCUUUGCUGACGAGUGGCGGACGGGUGAGUAAUGUCUGGGAAACUGCCUGAUGGAGGGGGAUAACUACUGGAAACGGUAGCUAAUACCGCAUAACGUCGCAAGACCAAAGAGGGGGACCUUAGGGCCUCUUGCCAUCGGAUGUGCCCAGAUGGGAUUAGCUAGUAGGUGGGGUAACGGCUCACCUAGGCGACGAUCUCUAGCUGGUCUGAGAGGAUGACCAGCCACACUGGAACUGAGACACGGUCCAGACUCCUACGGGAGGCAGCAGUGGGGAAUAUUGCACAAUGGGCGCAAGCCUGAUGCAGCCAUGCCGCGUGUAUGAAGAAGGCCUUCGGGUUGUAAAGUACUUUCAGCGGGGAGGAAGGGAGUAAAGUUAAUACCUUUGCUCAUUGACGUUACCCGCAGAAGAAGCACCGGCUAACUCCGUG
rnacentral:rRNA from 1 species